CCUACGGGUGGCAGCAGUGGGGAAUAUUGCACAAUGGGGGAAACCCUGAUGCAGCAACGCCGCGUGAAUGAAGAAGGAUUUCGGUAUGUAAAGUUCUAUCAGCAGGGAAGAAAAUGACGGUACCUGACUAAGAAGCCCCGGCUAACUACGUGCCAGCAGCCGCGGUAAUACGUAGGGGGCAAGCGUUGUCCGGAUUUACUGGGGGUAAAGGGAGCGUAGGCGGCGUUGCAAGUCAGAAGUGAAAGCCCCGGGCUCAACUCCGGGACUGCUUUUGAAACUGGAAGGCUAGAGUGCAGGAGAGGCAAGUGGAAUUCCGAGUGUAGCGGUGAAAUGCGUAGAGAUUAGGAGGAACACCAGUGGCGAAGGCGGUUUGCUGGACUGUAAAUGACGCUGAGGCUCGAAAGCGUGGGGAGCAAACAGGAUUAGAUACCCGGGUAGUC
rnacentral:rRNA from 1 species